UUUCCGUAGGUGAACCUGCGGAAGGAUCAUUCGUGAAUUGUAUAUGAUAGCGGUUUUCUUCGGCGUUCUUAGCCUCAAAUCAUAUCUAUAACAUCUGUGAUCUGUCAGGCUGUCUUGACAACGACAGUGAUUAGAGCUCAAGCCUUUUUUUUACAAAUAUUAUAGAAAAAAACGUACUCUUAUCAUAUUCUAAUAACACUUUUAAUAACUGAUCUCUUGGCUUUCGCAUCGACGAAGAACGCAGCAGCACGUCUGAGCACACGUCUCAACUCCAGACCC
rnacentral:misc_RNA from 1 species